CUCUUGGGGUCUCUCUCUCCCAUUUGAGUCCCAAGGCUCCUGAUUCCCCACUGUUCUACUCAUUCUCUCCUUAAGUCCCUCUCUCCAUUUCGGUUGUACAGUUGCAGGUGAUUUGAUCUGCGAAUUGAUAUCGAAGGAGGGUCGGAAUGUCGGUCGUGACGGCUGCCAAGCGGCUGGUGCCAUUGCUGGACAGAGUGUUGGUUGAGAAAAUUGUGCCACCAACAGUCUCCGCUGCUGGCAUUCUUCUUCCGGAGACCACCACAAAGGUGAACUCAGGUAUUGUUAUUUCAACUGGUCCUGGUAUGAAGACAAAAGACGGCACACUCAUCCCUUGCGAUGUAAAGACCGGCGACACUGUUCUGCUUCCAGAAUACGACGGAACUCCAGUUAAAUUGAAAGGCGAGGAAGGCAAAGAGUUUUUGUUGUACCGCAACGAUGACCUUCUAGGAAUUUUGGAAGAUUGAUGCUUUCGCAAGGAGCUCGAAAUUGAUGAUCCGUGCCGUUGGAGCUUUAGCGAACUAGCCGAUGCUAACUGCAUGCACCACUAAACGAUAAAACAAUGGAACGGCACUACGAUUGUGCUACUAUCGAAAAAUCAUCAAUGUGACGGAAGUGGAAGUCGUGUUUAACUUCUCUGGUUCAACGACUGAGGGAAGCACCCAUCCAGCCCACCAAAUGUCUCGCAAGCAGCAUGGAAUCUACCUUUGCCGAAAAACUCGAGCACGAAAGGGUCUGUCGAACUCUGCUUCAAUAUCAAGGUUCCCGAACUCCACCAACUCCUUCAGCGAUUUGGGUCGCAGAUCCUCUUUGAUGAAGACAUCGAUUACUGAGACUCAGAAAAAUACAGCUGCUUAGAUUUGAUCACGACUCAAUGGACACUGGUGUAGCUUUUCUUCGUUCAAAAAGCAGUAGCGAGUACACAAACUGCUACGAUGUCAACUAUUCAGCUGUGUUCAACACUGCAGUUGAAAUUGUGACUAGUUGAUGAAAGUCUAAGGGACCUCCGUAGAAUUAGAUUGUAGACGCUUGUGAGGUUUACAUUUGUUGAAGUUAGGAGUCAUCCUCUAGAUACUUGAGCAAUGUCUAUGAUUAAUUUCCAUCAAGUAAGCUGUUGAACUGAAGCGCAAAUAAGACAUUAGAAUGAAUUGCAGUUUGGCAGUUUACUCA